rnacentral:rRNA from 1 species
UGGGGAAUCUUGCGCAAUGGGCGGAAGCCUGACGCAGCAACGCCGCGUGAGGGAUGACGGCCUUCGGGUUGUAAACCUCUUUCGCGAUCGACGAAGCUCCAUCUUCUGGGUGGGGUGACGGUAGGUCGAGAAGAAGCACUGGCCAACUACGUG